CAACGAAUAUUCCGCAAUGCGCGAAAGCGUGACGGAGCGACGCCGCGUGUAGGACGAAGCCCCUCGGGGUGUAAACUACUGUCAGGAUUGAGCAAACAAGAAGAUCGAAUAGGUCUUGGCGUUGAGCUAGUCCAGAGGAAGCCACGGCUAACUCUGUGCCAACAGCCGCGGUAAGACAGAGGUGGCAAGCGUUGUUCGGAAUCACUGGGCUUAAAGGGUGUGUAGGCGGUUUGGUAAGCAUUAGGUGAAAGCCCUGGGCUCAACCCAGGAACAGCAGGAUGUACGGCCUGACUUGAGGCGAGUAGAGGUCACUGGAACUCUGGGUGGAGCGGUGAAAUGCGUAGAUAUCCAGGGGAACGCCAAUGGCGAAGGCAGGUGACUGGGCUCGUCCUGACGCUGAGGCACGAAAGCGUGGGAAGUGAACG
rnacentral:rRNA from 1 species